rnacentral:misc_RNA from 1 species
GUUUAGAGCACUAAAACUGCUUGGGAUUGGACCUUCAAGUGAUGUACCUUGUAGUUGCCUGUGUGCAACAACACGCAUCAGUCUGCAAACCUAAAUGAAAUGUUUCUCAAAGCAUCAGUAGAGUUCAAGGAAAAUCAUGCAAUUGCAUACACGACCCUGAGUUAUGUAAGAGUCCCAAAAAAGUCUGGAAACUUUCCAUUAAAGAGAUUAUCACAUGCCCAGCUGAAAUGAACAAUAAACAAAAUCCACAUUUCAAAAACAGAAUUCAAUGAUCUACGGAGAAGUACAGAACCCAAAAGUUUCAGUUGCGAUGCGAUUGGAAUAAAAAGCUUUUCGAUCCAAUUGGAAAA